GUUCCUAUGGUAGUGGAACACAACUGCUUCACACGCGGAAGGUCCCAGGUUCGAAACCUGGUGGGAACA